rnacentral:rRNA from 2 species
CCCAGGUCAGGCGGGACUACCCGCUGAGUUUAAGCAUAUCAUUAAGCGGAGGA